GGGGCUGAUUUGGUUUCGACGGGAAUAGUAGAGCAUAGAUGGCAAGUCGAAUGUCCACGUACGGGCACAAAAAAAUAAAUGCUAAUAAGCUAAAAAAUGCUGUAGCUAACAUGUUUGGUGGAAACCAAGCUGUUGCUUACGCUCUUUAAUAAUACGAGCCAGCACUUCUUAUAGUUUUACCUAGUAACUAUAUAGAGGUUCAAUUUUAUAGGUUAUAGCUAUCUUUUGUCUAGAAGAUAGAAAGAAUUUAGAGACUGGUAUAGCUAGUUGGUCGUUAAUUACUUGCUAGUUAUAUGAGAAUAAUUAGUUAACUAAACUUGUAGAAGUUUAUGUAGCUCUAUUUUCGGACAGGGGUUCAAUUCCCCUCAGUUCCACCA
rnacentral:tmRNA from 1 species